AGUUGGCACUCUAAAGAGACUGCCGGUGUCAAACCGGAGGAAGGUGGGGAUGACGUCAAGUCCUCAUGGCCUUUAUGACCAGGGCUACACACGUACUACAAUGGCCGGUACAAAGGGCAGCCACUUAGCGAUAAGGAGCCAAUCCCGUAAAGCCGGUCUCAGUCCGGAUUGGAGUCUGCAACUCGACUCCAUGAAGUUGGAAUCGCUAGUAAUCGCAGAUCAGCACGCUGCGGUGAAUACGUUCCCGGGCCUU
rnacentral:rRNA from 1 species